ensembl:lncRNA
CUUGUCACAGGAAGCCAGAUGUUACUUUUCUAGUAAGACGGUGUGGAGACGAGGCGAGUAGAGUUUUAGCACCCUUGCACUUAAAACCCACAGGGGUUUCACAACCCCUUCACAUCAUCCUCAUGUUUUUUAUAUUUGGUGACAGCAAGAAAGUCAGCAAAUGUACAUUUAUAUCACUGAGGAAUUCACAAGGUGCAGAGCAAUGCAGGGUAUAUAUAUAUAUAUAUUUUUUUUUUUAUAGAAAGGCCUAAGAGUAGUAGUCAGGUUUGAUUUCUAGUGACUAAAACUGUUAGGUAUAAAAAAUGAGUUGGUGUGUCUGGUCAAUAAUUCUGUCUUUCUCUUUCUCCGCUUUCUUUAGAAAGCCUACAUCAGUUUCCAUCUUCAUUUGCCGUGUCUGCCUAAAUCUCCAAUAGUAAAAGUAACUGACUGACACUGAGCAGUAUUAGAAAAAAAGAAAAAAACCCUACUCCUCCCUCCCACCAACCCAACCGCCCACACACCAGUUCUACGUCUGGCUUUGUCAGAUGUGCAGAAAGGCAGGCUGCUAAGACAGGAUGACACUGACGAUUAGAAGACCACUGCUCACACGAUAAGAUGGAAAUGUCGCUGAAGCAGUUGAUUCUGAUGCUACUUACAGUGGCAGCAACAGCCAUGGUGAUAUCAGGUCAAACUGCUGUAUUUCUGAAUGAAACAAGAACAGUGAGAGUUCCAUCUGGAUCAGACCUGGCUUUGUACUGCUUUUUGGACACUGAGAAAUAUGAGCGAUAUCGAAUCUUCUGGUAUUCCAACAAAUCUGAGAAAUCUGAAUCUUCUUCCAACGAGUCAAUAUGUCACAAAAUCAUUAACAAACCUGCAAACAAGACUGAAAAUGAAGAUUCAAAAUGCAUUUUGUCAAAUGUUAAUACAAACCACAGUGGAUGGUACUUUUGCAAAGUCACAACAGAGAUUCCCAGUUUAACAGAAAUCCGCAGCAGUGGAACAGAAGUAAAUGUUUACCCUCCUGCCCUGAGUGACAACUGGUGGAUAUGGGUGGUGUUGGGAGCAUCCUCUUUCAUCCUGUUCAUCCUGACGGUCACAUGUGUCCUACUCUCAAGAAGACAAGAGAAUAGAGAAGAGCCCAUCUAUGCAAACACCCCCAACAAACAGCCUUCACCUCGGCCGUCCAUGAGCGCAGCGGCGGUCAGCCUGAAGGCAGCUUCUUCCUUUCAAGACCCGCGGACCCCGAGUCCUGCCAGCAGAUACGACGAAGGCAAACGGAGAUAUAGACACUGAACAAGUCACGGAUCUCACAAACUAAUGCCAGCAAAGGUCCUCACAGCUAAUUUCACCGGGACACUGAAAGAAACUUUCCCCUUUCAUUAUUGUCGGAUCUACAUUUUGUUCAUCUGGAUUACUGGUUUAGGGUUUUUUCAUUCAAACUGUACGUUUUUUAAAAUGCGCAGGUGAAGUAGCUUUUAUGAGCCACUAGAUGGCAGAUGAUGAAUGCGGUUUGAAUGUGUAAAUUCAUGGUUUUGUUCCCUUAAUUUUUGUAUUGUAUUACUUAAUAUUGAAUAUGAUGAAUACUGAAUAUUUGGAAAUGUUUCCAAUAGCUUUUGAAUGGAGUAUGGAGAAGAUUUAUACACACAUAUGUAUAUUUUUGUAUUAUUUUUUUAAAGGAGACUAAAACGUUAAUUUCUUAUAUAUGGACUGUGUCCUUCUUUUUAUUUUCAAAAUAAACGUGGCUUUCUGUCGUGCUUAGGCUAACACUUUAAUACGUCCUCUGAUAAAAUACUUAUUAAGUCGACUUAACAUUUCCAAACAAACCAAAAGUCCGCACUUGGGAACAUUAACAGGA